rnacentral:misc_RNA from 1 species
GAAAUGCGAUAAGUAAUGUGAAUUGCAGAAUUCAGUGAAUCAUCGAAUCUUUGAACGCACAUUGCGCCCGCCAGUAUUCUGGCGGGCAUGCCUGUCCGAGCGUCAUUUCAACCAUCAAGCCCCCGGGCUUGUGUUGGGGACCUGCGGCUGCCCGCAGGCCCUGAAAACCAGUGGCGGGCUCGCUGUCACACCGAGCGUAGUAGCAAUCACCUCGCUCAGGGCGUGCUGCGGGUUCCGGCCGUUAAACAGCCUUACAAAACCCAGGUUGACCUCGGAUCAGGUAGGAAGACCCGCUGAACUUAAGC